GAUGAACGCUGGCGGCGUGCCUAAUACAUGCAAGUCGAGCGAACAGACGAGGAGCUUGCUCCUCUGACGUUAGCGGCGGACGUGUGAGUAACACGUGGAUAACCUACCUAUAAGACUGGGAUAACUUCGGGAAACCGGAGCUAAUACCGGAUAAUAUAUUGAACCGCAUGGUUCAAUAGUGAAAUACGGUUUUUCUGUCACUUAUAGAUGGAUCCGCGCCGCAUUAGCUAGUUGGUAAGGUAACGGCUUACCAAGGCGACGAUGCGUAGCCGACAGGAGAGGGUGAUAGGCCAAACUGGAACUGAGACACGGUCCAGACUACUACGGGAGGCAGCAGUAGGGAAUCUUCCGCAAUGGGCGAAAGCCUGACGGAGCAACGCCGCGUGAGUGAUGAAGGUCUUCGGAUCGUAAAACUCUGUUAUUAGGGAAGAACAAAUGUGUAAGUAAAUAUGCACGUCUUGACGGUACCUAAUCAGAAAGCCACGGCUAACUACGUG
rnacentral:rRNA from 1 species